rnacentral:rRNA from 1 species
UUACGGGAGGCAGCAGUGGGGAAUAUUGGACAAUGGGCGCAAGCCUGAUCCAGCAAUGCCGCGUGGAUGAAGAAGGUCUUCGGAUUGUAAAGUCCUUUCGGCGGGGACGAUGAUGACGGUACCCGCAGAAGAAGCCCCGGCUAACUUCGUGCCAGCAGCCGCGGUAAUACGAAGGGGGCUAGCGUUGCUCGGAAUGACUGGGCGUAAAGGGCGCGUAGGCGGAUUGAAUAGUUAGGCGUGAAAUUCCUGGGCUCAACCUGGGGACUGCGCUUAAUACAUUCAGUCUAGAGUGUGAAAGAGGGUCGUGGAAUUCCCAGUGUAGAGGUGAAAUUCGUAGAUAUUGGGAAGAACACCGGUGGCGAAGGCGGCGACCUGGUUCAUGACUGACGCUGAGGCGCGAAAGCGUGGGGAGCAAACAGGAUUAGAUACCCGAGU